CGAAGGGCAUCGGGGAGAGUGCUUGCACUCUCUGCCGGCGACUGGCGCACGGGUGAGUAACACGUAUGCAACCUGCCCUCCACAGGGGGACAACCUUCCGAAAGGGAGGCUAAUCCCGCGUAUAUUCCCUGGGGGCAUCCCUGGGGGAGGAAAGGGUUACCGGUGGAGGAUGGGCAUGCGGCGCAUUAGGCAGUAGGCGGGGUAACGGCCCACCUAACCGACGAUGCGUAGGGGUUCUGAGAGGAAGGUCCCCCACACUGGUACUGAGACACGGACCAGACUCCUACGGGAGGCAGCAGUGAGGAAUAUUGGUCAAUGGGCGGGAGCCUGAACCAGCCAAGCCGCGUGAAGGAAGAAGGCGCCAGGCGUCGUAAACUUCUUUUGUCGGGGAACAAAGGGCGCCACGCGUGGCGUUGUGAGUGUACCCGAAGAAAAAGCAUCGGCUAACUCCGUGCCAGCAGCCGCGGUAAUACGGAGGAUGCGAGCGUUAUCCGGAUUUAUUGGGUUUAAAGGGUGCGUAGGCGGAAUGCCAAGUCAGCGGUAAAAUCGCGGGGCUCAACCUCGCUCCGCCGUUGAAACUGGCGUUCUUGAGUGGGCGAGAAGUAUGCGGAAUGCGUGGUGUAGCGGUGAAAUGCAUAGAUAUCACGCAGAGCUCCGAUUGCGAAGGCAGCUUACCGGCGCCCAACUGACGCUGAAGCACGAAAGCGGGGUAUCGAACAGGAUUAGAUACCCUGGUAGUCCACGCAGUAAACGAUGAAUACUAGCUGUUCGGGGCAAAUGGGCCUUGAGUGGCACAGCGAAA
rnacentral:rRNA from 1 species